rnacentral:misc_RNA from 1 species
CGCAAAUUGCGCUCCUUGGUAUUCCGAGGAGCAUGCCUGUUUGAGUGUCAUGAAAUCAUCCACCUUGGCUUUUGGUUAAUUCCACUGGCCUUGGCUGGGACUUGGGUGUCUGCCGCUGAUGAAGUGGCUCACCUUAAAUCGAUUUCUGAUUGACUCUGUAAGCAGUCGGUUUGACUUGGCAUCAUAAGUUAUUUUGCUGAGGACAUCUUCGGAUGGCCGUCUGUUCACCUUGUCAUGUGCAGCCUUGUGGUCCACACUAGGUCUGUACGCACCAUCUUUUGACAUCUGGCCUCAAAUCAGGUAGGACUACCCGCUGAACUUAA